ensembl:lncRNA
UUGUUGUUGUUGUUUUUAGUAUACAGCUAAUAUUUAAAAUGUGUGUUUGUUUAUUGUUUUUAACGCACACUAUUAUGUUUAAGAGAAAUGUGCUUUAAGAGGGCUAUGAAUGUGAAAGAGAGAGAGCGCGAGUGAGAGGCGAGUGCGCAGAUCACAGAUCGAACAUUUCGAUUGUUACUGAAAUAAUUUGCAUACUGAUUCCCUUUCAGCUCGCGCAGGAUCCAUAACUGCUCGCGCGGGUAUUCAAAUGCACGCGCAUCUUUAAAUGCAAGGAUAAGACAGAAUCAAGAGCCCAGAGACACGCAAACAACACCGACCGAAACGGAGUUUUUGCCCGUGGAUGCUGUGAUUCGAUCAUGGAAACGGUGGAAAAGCGAUUAUCCUGCUGGACGAGACCCGCCGGGUGGAUGCAGGAAGCGCCGUGCCUGCGGAGCACACUGAACAAAUUACGCACUAAAGCAAAUGAUUGCUUUCAAUGACAAACUGUGGAUAACACACAAAACUUACAGCUGUUAGCUUCAGGAGUCUUGAAGCGUCACCUUUGACAUGUCCCCUAUGCGCACGAGCGGGGGCCCGGGGCUGUGGGCCCCAGGACUGACCACUGCAAGCUGUCAAGCUGUCACCCCACCCGGGCUUGGACGCUUUCGCCGGGCUCCUAACAGUCCAGUUAUCCCGCUCUCUCGCUUGACUGGACAUGAAACUGACUUUUUGGAGUCGAUUUUUAACUAUAAACAAUGUGUAGUCGUGCAAAGUGAUAUCUCUUUAAUGUAUGUGUGGGGGUGUGGUGGGGGAUCCUGUAACUGCCUUGGUAAUUUUUGUCUUGCCAACCAAAAAAAAUUAUUGGUUCUUUUUGUUCUUUUAAAAACGUAUGUGUACAAAUUCAGCAUGGACGAAUUGUGUUAUAGAUUUUGAUCUGCCUCCUAUCUUUUACACAAUCUACAUUAAUUGUGUUUAUAUAGAUUGAAUUUGCUAACUGCAUUUUGCAAAGUCGGAUUGACACUUUUUUAACUGUUUAAAAUACAAACGAAUUUUUGUAACACUGAUUUGGCAUAUAAAUGGGUUUUGCCUAUUCAUUUUUGUGCAGAAUGAAGUUUACCCAUGAAACAUAAUGUGCUGUGUCAUUAUUCUGCCAGGCCGCGGAAGCGGGACACACUCCUGAUGGCUUGGUUCGUUACUCUUAAUAGCACAACAAUAGAAACAUCUGUCCAGCCUUUCUUUGCCUAUUACCAAUCCGUCUGUCCUUGAUCCCAAAAAACACUACAGCUCUGCAUGGUACAGGAUGAGUAAUAUUCAGCAAUCUGUAUACUUUUUUUUCAUUAAAAAUAUAUAUUUAUUUAUUCUGUGUGUCAGACCUCUCUUAUUUCAACUGAAUGUCAAUUUGUAGCCUAUAUACAUUAUAUUGAUAAUAUCUGCAAUCAUAUGUGCAUGCGUAUAAACAUUUCUCUGAAGCUUGGAGCAGGACAGAAACUAAUGUAGGCUAUAUGUAUAUUAAUGCAAGCAGAAGCCUCCAGGUGAACCCGGAAGUUUUCUACACCCAUCGCAUUAAGGAGGUUCUGCAAAACUAAUUGCAUUUAUUCAUGAAUUAU